GACGAACGCUGGCGGCGUGCUUAACACAUGCAAGUCGAACGGAAAGGCCCUUCGGGGUACUCGAGUGGCGAACGGGUGAGUGACACGUUGGUGAUCUGCCCUGCACUUUGUGAUAAGCCUGGGAAACUGGGUCUACUACCGAAUAGGACCACGCUCUUCCUGGUGUGUGGUGGAAAGCUUUUGCGGUGUGGGAUGGGCCCGCGGCCUAUCAGCUUGUUGGUGGGUUAAUGGCCUACCAAGGCGACGACGGGUAGCCGGCCUGAGAGGAUGACCGGCCACAAUGGGACUGAGAUACGGCGCAGACGGCUACGGGAGGCAGAAGUGGGGAAUAUUGCACAAUGGGCGCAAGCCUGAUGCAGCGACGCCGCGUGAGGGAUGACGGCCCUCGGGUUGUAAACCUCUUUCAAUAGGGACGAAGCGCAAGUGACGGUACCUAUAGAAGAAGCACCGGCCAACUACGUG
rnacentral:rRNA from 1 species